UAUAAGGUCUGACCUGCCCAAUGAGGAUUUAAAUGGCCGCAGUAUUUUGACUGUGCAAAGGUAGCAUAAUUAUUAGUUUUUUAAUUGAGAACUUGUAUGAAGGGUCGGACGAGAUAAAAACUGUCUUUAUCUAAAUUAAAAUAGAAUUUAACUUUUAAGUCAAAAGGCUUAAAUGUUUAUAAUAGACGAGAAGACCCUAUAGAUCUUUAUUUAAUUAAUAUUUUAAUAAUUUAGGAUUAUUUUAAUUUAAAAUUUUAAUUGAAUUUUAUUGGGGUAAUAUAAAGAUUAAAUUAAUUCUUUUUAUUAAUUACAUUUAUUUAUGAUUAAAUGAUCCAAUAUUAUUGAUUAUAAGAUUAAGUUACCUUAGGGAUAACAGCGUAAUUUUUUUGGAGAGCUCAUAUCGAUAAAAAAGUUUGCGACCUCGAUGUUGGAUUAAAAAUUAUCUUGGGUGUAGAAGCUCAAGAUUUUGGUCUGUUCGACCAUUAAAUUUUUACAUGAUCUGAGUUCAAACCGGCGUAAGCCAGGUCGGUUUCUAUCUUUAUUWAAWUAAAAUAUUUUAGUACGAAAGGACCAAAUAUUUGAUAUAAUUAUAUUUUUUAUAUGAAUAAUAUU
rnacentral:rRNA from 1 species